CUUUAUUUUCCCUCUCUCUCCCUCACGUUCCCUUCCUCCCUCUUUUCCCUCAUUCUCGCCUCAUCUCCCUCACCCCCACCCUUUUCAGCUCUCUCUCUUUCUCUUCUUCAUCUCAAUACCGCCGCACCCCCCUACCCUACACUCCCCACUUGUUCCCCCCGCUCCUCUUUCAUCAUCACCUACGCUCCCCUCCGCUCCUCUCUUUCCUCACUCUAUAAAGGAGAGGAGCAAAAUCUGAUUAAGGGGGGAAUCGGAGUUUUAAAAGAAAAAAAAAAAAAGAGAUCGAACAAGAUCUAGAAUCCAAAGAUUCCUCCUACAAAAAACAUAAGCUUACACUGUGAAAGGAUCAUUUCAUCGUUUUCAGAAAAUACACCGCUGUUUUUCCAGACUGGCUUUCCUUUUCCGGCGAACUUUAGCCGCGACAAAGGGUUUCUCAAAAAAUUUAAUUUGAUUUCUCCGGUUUAAAACUUUCUGCUGCGGAUUUGUUGAGUUUAGAACUCAAAAGAAUUUGAGUUCAUCUGUUCGAAACAUAGAUUCGAGACCCCGACGCCUCGUUCACUGCUCACAAAAAAGAGUCCUAAUUCGGGACUCAUCGUCUUCCAUAUCCGGUGUUGGGCUAAAAGUCCAGCAUAAUUUCGCUCGAGUCACCCCCAUCAGCAACAGUCCGCAACAUUUAUUUUCGCUGGGCCGAAGCCCAAUAGCAGUGGACAGUGUCAAUCCUUAAUGAAUGGGCCGAACCCACUCAUUCUUUACUCUCUUCCUUAUUUUUAUUAUUGUGUAUUUUAUUUGCUUUGUAUGACUAACAUUUUAUUUUGUCUUACUAGAUUAGGUGAACCGUAGUGAAGUUAAUGAAAUUAAUGGGUUUGAUUUUAGUAAAAAAUGGGUAGGAAGAACCAAUGAUUAAUUUCAUAAGUUUCAUCUUCCUCUUUUAUGGUAAAAUUACUUAUAGCA